AGGUCAAGUACAUGCUGGAGAGUAAGAUGGCAGAGCCUUCUUUCUCCAGUUGGGCUUCUCCCUGUAUCUUGGUCAGUAAACCGGAUGGAACAAACCGAUUUUGUACGGACUACCGUAAGGUAAAUAGUGUCACAAAGCCAGAUUCAUUUCCUCUUCCUCGAAUGGAGGACUGUGUUGAUCAAGUCGGUGCAGCUAAGUUUGUGAGCAAAUUUGACCUGUUAAAAGGCUAUUGGCAGGUGCCACUGACGAGUAGGGCACGUGAAAUCUCUGCCUUUAUUACACCCUUUGGUCUGUACUCGUAUUCGGUUAUGAGUUUCGGUUUGCGCAAUGCACCUGCCACUUUUCAGCGACUUAUGAACAGGGUUGUUGCCGGUCUGACCGGGUGCGCUGUUUAUUUGGACGAUGUAGUGAUCUAUGCAGAUACUUGGGAAGAACAUCUGUCCCGUAUUCAAGCCUUGUUCGAACGUCUGGCUGCGGGUCGCCUCACAAUCAAUCUGGCUAAAUGAUGCCGGUGGGCGGAGUUGGGGAGGGUCGUCAGCUACAUGGGAAACACCUGGGCCAGGUGUGUCCCAGGAUAAAUAGACCUCUUCCACAUUCAUGGAGAAGACUCUCUCCAUACAGACACCAUUGUAGAUUGUGUUGUGGUUCUUGGUGGCCUUUUGUUUGUUUGCAUUGGCACCUUUCAAUACCCUGCAUUAUCACAUUCAUGCAUGCAAAACACUCACUUACACUACUGAUUACUGAUUACACACACCAUUGUAUAUUUUCCUUAGUUGCUUUAGUUAAUAAAUAUAUAUUUUGUUACUCCUUA